GUGUGACUGCGUACCUUUUGUAUAAUGGGUCAGCGACUUAUAUUCUGUAGCAAGGUUAACCGUAUAGGGGAGCCGUAGGGAAACCGAGUCUUAACCGGGCGUUAAGUUGCAGGGUAUAGACCCGAAACCCGGUGAUCUAGCCAUGGGCAGGUUGAAGGUUGGGUAACACUAACUGGAGGACCGAACCGACUAAUGUUGAAAAAUAUUU
rnacentral:rRNA from 1 species